GAACCGUGCUUCCCACCCAGGAGAUGCUCUGGGCUUUAAGGUCCCUCAGUGACUCUCUUCUGCACAACAAGCAGUGUAGAAGCAGCACUGACGACUCAGGAAAAGAGGGAGACACCUGCAAUGUUUCACAGGGACCCAAGUGGCACUGAAACCUGGUGCUCAACCCCAGAAGAACAUUACUGUGUCCUCAUGGCUCUUUUAUAUCCAAGAAGGAUGUGUUGAAGGAUGUGAAUAAAACACUGAUUCCUCCAAGCCUUCCCAAUCCCAACACAGGAGGUCUAUGUUGGUUGAAAGUUGGAAGUUAGCACACGUGGUUAGAUCCUGAGCACCUGCUUCCAGCAGUGUCACCAACUACUUCUGACCUCACAUCACCAUAAACAAGAGCAGAAACACAUUCAGAAAUCAACAAUGCCUUUGGAAACUCAGCUUUCAGCGACGGAUUCCCAGUUAUUUUACCUGCACCUGAAAUCCACUGGCAAUUAGAGUAGUUUAACUUACUAACACAAAAAAAAAAAMCUUUUUUUUUCCCUUUCCUCUGGACCAACACCACACGUGAAACCAUCUCCAAAAGGGUUAUUUCCAACAGUGAAGACCUCAAAAGUGGUUUCUGUUCUCUGCCUCCAGCAAGGAAUCUAACUAAUACCGCUCUGAUAACGCUCAAGUGCAGCAGUCAUUAAUCUGGGCAGAGYGAUUUUUCACAUAAAUUGCCUUCUCUCUCCUUAAAGUUUCAGGGUCGAAACGAAAAUAUAUCACUGAAACAAAUUGCUGCUGGGAAAAAUGAGCAGGCUGAAAUACGGAAAAGAACAAGCCGAGCUAAGGCAAGGCCUUUAAACAGGAACUGAGCCCAGAGACACUUACAAAGGAAAACCUGCAGCAGAAACAAGAGCAGUUAUUGCCCUGUCACCUGGUGCCUCUUCUUCACCGUUUCUAAACAGGGCAACCUACUGCUCUGCUUUCCAUAUAUAUCCUGGAAGCAACUUUUUCUCUGCACUCAAACACAAACCAACUUUACUACAUGAAAAUAUGCAUAAUUUAGGUCAUCCUCUGGCAGCCCUGCUGAGCCACCCGUUGCA